CGCGCGCACCCACGCGGCCGAGGAAGCGCGCGCGGCGGAAGCAACGACGAGGAGAUAAAAAAUACACUCGAGCGUGGGCAGCAUCGGGCCAACGCAGGCGCGGCCGAAGAGCAGGUGCCGCGCUGGAGCCCGUCGUUGCCGGCACUUCUUGGAGCGAGCGGGCGGGGAGCACGACGGCCAUGAUGUCGACCGAAAACGGCGAGCCCCGCAUCACCAUCAGCGUGCACACCACGACCGGGGGUCGCAUGCAGCUCCAGCUGCAACCGCAGUGCACCGUCGCCGCGCUCAAGAAGACGCUCUCGGCACGACUGCGGCUCGCCAAGGACCGGAUGGUGCUGCUACACCGCAACAGGCAACUAAAAGAGGGCACACUGGAUUCCAACAACGUGCGCGACGGAGAACGGCUUACACUGCUGCCUAGUGUGGAAACUGGUCUACAGGCCAUCAAGCCUGAACAGAGCGUCAUGCAAGCCUUGGAAUCGUUGACUGAUGCACAGGUGGAGAACUUCCUGUGUGGACGUGCCCCGUUGCACCUGACAAUGCGCCUGGGGGACCACGUCAUGUUUGUCCAGCUGCAACUGUGCCCGCCAGUUGAGACGCCACCGGCCACACCCACCUCGCCCAACUGCCCUGCUCCUCCUGCUGCCACACCGCCCCCUCCAGAGGCGGCACCUGGCAGUGGAGCUGUCAUCGACCAGCUGCGCCACUUGGGUCAGGGCGUCUACUCUGGCAGCUUUUCGGGCACCCUGGGUCCCGAGCUCCAAGAUGGCGAGGGCCGACCUCGUCGCCAUGUUGCCACUAUCCUGCACAUUCUUCGCGACCUACUUGGUGCCAGCCAGGGCUGGCGCGGUCCUCUCACUCCAACGAGCGCCUCAGCUGCGUCGACACAAUCACCCACGGCUCCUUCUGCAGCUGCCAGCGAUAAUGGCACCACUUUAGGUGUUGCCGGUGCCCAACACCUUUCCCCUUCCUCCUCUACUGCUUCGGGCAGCGGCAGUGAAGUGAUGGGUGGGGAUGCGACGCCUCCGACGUCGCCGCGCGUCAGAGAUGCGACAAGCCUGCAUCAGGAAGAGCAUCGGGUGCUGAGGGGAAAGUUGGACCAAAUCAGAGCGACGCUUCGCGAAAGGCGGAGGGCCAGGCGGAGGGCAUCACCAUAUCCGACGCCCGCCAGCUCGCCACCGGCGGCAUCGUCGGACGAACCAGUCCUGGUGUGAAGAUGUGUCCUCACUGCAGCGAGGAUUUGAGGAAACUUCCUUCCCACACCGGCCCAGCCUGACUGAAAUUCUCUCCCACCAACACCCUUGCCUGGUGGACAGUGAUGAUGUGGGCAUUUUGGAGCAAGUGAUGAAGUGAUUUGGGUGCAGCGAUUUUGGAUCGCAUGGGAAGCGCUGUUUGUCCUUGCCAGUCCCAGAAAUGUCCCGUCAGCAGGAAUUGAGACGUGUACACUGUUCAUUACUGUAAUGCAUGAUUGCUUGCACCUGUUGCAAUUUCAUCAUGACAUGCCUGCUUUUAAAAUGUGCAUAUGCCUCUUGGGUGUGUCAGUGUGUGUGCUUUGAAAGUUGAGUUUACCAUCAGGCCGUCCUGCUUCAGACUAGCUUGUUGAUCAUGCUAUGCAGAAUUUAGGAUGGCAUUCGUUUGAGAACCAUCCAAGCAAAAUGUGACGCACACUACUGGCGACAGGAGAGGCAGCAAGCAGCAUAACCAUGAUGUUUUGACGGCAGGGCAAGGAAAAAUGCACAGAGGAGAGUGGGUGGGGAGAGCCAUCAAUUCGCUUGCGCGGUCUGUUCUGCAACCAAAGCAGGCCAACAUUUUAGCGCUUUCUCCCUGAAGUGACUGGUUGCCUGAAAAUGUAUGCGUCAACAAAUUGUUGCGCUUGCUUGUUGCAAAAUGUGACAGGCCAGUACUUUUAGUGGAGGAAGUGCAUUAUGGUGACUACAGAUGGAAUAAUAGGUGACUUGCAGAAAACAUGUUUGCACUGACCCUUUGAGCUAGUAGGAGUUGCACAUUUUUGUAUGUACAAAAUACUUGAAAGUUGAUGCAAAUGUUGAUGCAAUCAUUCUCUUCAUUUGUAGGGCACUUAUACAGUGAGUUUUAUGGACGUAAUGUGUUCCUACAGUAUUGUUUUGUUACAAUGCAGCCUUAAAGCUAGCAGCUUUUCAUGGUAUCAAUAUAUAGGUUGUAGCAAAAAAAAAAAAGCAAGACACACACCUUAAAACUAAUCAGUCUUAUUGAGCUUUUAGUUUGCAUUGGGUUUUAGCUGUUCAGUUACUUGCACAGUAUUAGGUGCAGUAGCACUGGCCAGUAGGCUAGCGUUAUUGCACGUAUGACUUUACAGGUUAUCUAUGUGCACUCCUGUGAUGGCAGGUAUUUCUAUAGGGCAGUGCCUUGGAAGACUGCAAGCAGCCUCCUGUUUUGGUUGUGCAACAGACGGCAUGUUCGAGAUGCAAGCACGUUGAACCAAAGUUUGCAGGGCUGUGGUGUCGCACGAACAAACUACUGCUCCAAGGGAACAGAUGGCUUUGUUGAUACCUGCUUGCAAGCAUCACGACCCAUUGAGAGCUCUAUUUUUGUCUCAGUAUUAGAAUCUUGUCUCCCUUUACACAUUUUUUGUUUUUUUUCUUGAAAUGUACACUUGAGUAUACUGUUAUGGCUUCAUUGUUCAUUUUUUUGCCUUCACACUUACGAGAACCGCACCGUACCUACCCGCAAAUCCAGUCAGUUUCCAGUUGUGGUUAGCAUCAAAGGAAGACGAGAUUGUCUAGAACCAUUGCAGAGUCUUGUAGAGUAUUAGCAUGCAUGGUACUUUACCAAGUUCACUAUCUCUUCAAAUUUGAACUCCGUCAUAGCUUGGUGAUUGUGCUGUCACUUCCACUGAGCUGUGGGCUUUGGGUCUAACUUCAUGUGCUAUGUACAUUAUGUAAGUGGCUCCAGUGGGAAGCAUACGGGAAGUGCUGUCCUGAACUCGAAUCGCAGUGUGUAGCUGAACAAAUCAUUGCUGCAACAAAAAUGUAUGCGGCGACUACAGACUACCGGUGUAACUCUGUGCGAGAGCAUGGGAAGCCGAUUUGACAGGGCUUUCAGUAGUCCUAGAUACGACUUCAAUUUCUCUUUGGUGUGCUCGGGCUUGCGCUUGGCUGGGUGCCGCAGAAUGGACGUUACUUCGGUGUUCUACUCUUUUUCUAAUCUGAAUUUAGUAAGGGAUCAUGCAAUCGAAUCUUGUUAAGUCACACUUGACACCAAAAUACCUUUGUUACGACGGACAUUCGGUAUAAGCAUACACGCUUAUAUCUGGCGGUAAAGUGUGCAAAUUUUAGAUUUACCUCGUUUAUCCGAUAAUCAUAUCCAUGUGUUAUAUCUUCGUUCGGCUGUACUUUUCCCUGCAGUUGCUGUCAACUCUGCAGUUGCUGCAAAUUGCUGACCCAUAUAAAGUAAUAUGUUAGUCUUGUUAAUCUGGAACAUAUUUAACUGCCACACCUUGCAGUAUUUUCACAAAAAAAGUCCACUUGCAGUAUUUUAACGGUAAGAAGUAAGAAUUAUUCAAUGAAAAGGUUUUUUGUUCCUGAUUAAUAUUUUCAGAUUGCUGCUACAUGCAGAAUAAGCCAAGUGUUAUUUCCUGUGUGGCAUGCAAAACACACAAAUGCUAUUGAUGCGAUAAGGACAGCAAGAUGUCUGUUAUGACGGGGUUCAAUUACAAGUAUUUUUUUUUUGCCACUUUUCGACUACACUGCUUUCUUGAGUAUUACACACUUGAUAAAAAAGAAAUAUUAAACUGUAUUUGUGCACUGAUAUCCCAUUUCUGGCCACUGCUGGCACCUUUCAGAGCUGUGUGUAUAUUUUGUCAGAAAGGCCAUGAAUGUUUUCAUUUGUCAUCCUUGCUACCUCAGUAUUUUUUGGUUUAUGAGCUUAGCUGCAGUGCCAUGCACAUAUCCACAUCUUGGCAAAGAAGGCACUGUAGUGGUGUGUCAAGAUUGCACAACCGAAGGCUUGUUGCAGAUCACAAUACAUCAUAUUUCAACAGCCUCAAUGAAUGAACCCACUAUUCAAAAUUCGUUUCUAAUUGUAACUGAAAUUGGUCAACAUAUGACCAAUGUGUAAACAGUGUGCAAAGUAAGUUACUAUGAAGUUACAGCUUGCAAGGGACCUGCGAAGUGUUGCACAUUUCGAUAAAGUCGCAUCCGAGACAAAUGCAUUUCAGAUAUGCAAUUUUCUUUAUAAGCGUGUGUUCGUUACAUGCUGAUAUUGACAAGAAAGAUUAAAAAUUAACCUAGUCAUAUUAAUUCGGUGUAUCAGUGUUCAUUAUGUUGAGGUUCGACGUAUUAGUGAUGCCAUUUUCCAGGACUUUCAUUUGAGUAUUUUGGGUAACCUGUUACUGGCUGAGGAUUCAGCAGCUCAUAACUGCCGGUCGCAGUCACCACGUUUUUCAAAGGCAGUUUAUAUAUAUAUAUUUGGCAAGUUCAGCCCACUCUAUAAAUCGUCUUGCAAACACUGUCCAAAUCCUAUGUAACAGUGGUGCCAGGUGGUUGGCCUUUGCCUAUGUGGUGAUGUGUGUGGCACUUGAGCAUAUGUAGGAUGCCAGUGAUACUGGAAUGUUGCAGCAGUUGGCAAUAUCAACAACGAUCACAUGCAAACCCCACGAAUGUACAGCCUGUGUUGUUCUUUCUUGGCAAUGGUCGACCAGUAUUCUGUUUUGUGUUCUCUCGUUUCACCCCGUUGCAAUCUGCAAGCACACGCAUCACUCCACAGAUUUCCUGUCAUAUUUUGGGAGUUUUCCAAUAGCAAAUAAAUGAACGUACGCCUGGUCAACAACUUG
rnacentral:misc_RNA from 1 species